CCUACGGGAGGCAGCAGUGAGGAAUAUCGGUCAAUGGACGCAAGUCUGAACCAGCCAUGCCGCGUGCAGGAAGACGGCUCUAUGAGUUGUAAACUGCUUUUGUACGAGGGUAAACGCAGAUACGCGUAUCUGUCUGCAAGUAUCGUACGAAUAAGGAUCGGCUAACUCCGUGCCAGCAGCCGCGGUAAUACGGAGGAUUCAAGCGUUAUCCGGAUUUAUUGGGUUUAAAGGGUGCGUAGGCGGUCGGAUAAGUUAGAGGUGAAAUCCCGAGGCUCAACUUCGGAAUUGCCUCUGAUACUGGUCGGCUAGAGAGUAGUUGCGGUAGGCGGAAUGUAUGGUGUAGCGGUGAAAUGCUUAGAGAUCAUACAGAACACCGAUUGCGAAGGCAGCUUACCAAGCUACUUCUGACGUUGAGGCACGAAAGCGUGGGGAGCAAACAGGAUUAGAUACCCGGGUAGUC
rnacentral:rRNA from 1 species